rnacentral:rRNA from 1 species
UACGGGGGGGCAAGCGUUGUUCGGAAUUACUGGGCGUAAAGGGUUCGUAGGUGGCCUGCUAAGUCACACGUGAAUCCCUCAGCUUAACUGGGGAACUGCGUCUGAUACUGGAUGGCUUGAGUUUGGGAGAGGGAUGCGGAAUUCCAGGUGUAGCGGUGAAAUGCGUAGAUAUCUGGAGGAACACCGGUGGCGAAGGCGGCAUCCUGGACCAACACUGACACUGAGGAGCGAAAGCCGGGAGGCA